UUGAAUAGAAACCAAUACAAAUAAACUCGAAAUCUCCGUACCGAAUAAAUGUGAAUUCAAAAAUGGUUCGAGCUUUUCUGAAAAAUUUAAAAAAAAAAUAACAAAAUUUAAACAAAAACCACAAUAAUUAACAACAAUUUGGAUUCUUUUUGAAGCGUAGUAAUCUAUUGAGCACGACCAUUCGUCAACAAACAAACAAAUCAUCCGAAGGGAGGGGCUGAGGCUGGGACUGGGACUGCGACUGGGACUGAGACAACCAACCGUGAGAACAGUGGUGUAUGUUUGAAGUGUAUAUUGUGAAAAAUUAGCAUGUCUAACAAUAACAGCAGAGAAGAUAGCAUUCUUGUGGCUGUACCCAUGGUUGUGUUGUUUACUGUACAAUUAGCUCUGGGUGGGGCUCAGCGAUCCAGCCAGCAUGCAGCACAGACUCCGAACAGCGACUCUCAGAAAUCUUUGGAGGGGAGAGCCAGAGACUGACACAGAAGCUGAAACUUCAGUUUAUAGUUAUUGUUUUUUUUUUGUUGGUUAAUGCAUUUCCAACAGUUUCAAUAUUAGUUAUUGUUGGGCAAAUAAAAAACUGGUUUUUUGUUGUGUUUUUUUGGGUUACGUUAAUACAUUGGGUUAUUACAUUUUUCAAAAUAUCGUUGCGCUUGCGAGAGGUGCAGAACUCUGGUUAGCUUUGGGUUAUUUCUCACUCUAAUUACACAGAAACACACACAGAUUAAACUAUUUUCAAAACGCGCCCAAUCAAA